GAUGAACGCUGGCGGCGUGCCUAAUACAUGCAAGUCGAGCGAACGGACGAGAAGCUUGCUUCUCUGAUGUUAGCGGCGGACGGGUGAGUAACACGUGGAUAACCUACCUAUAAGACUGGGAUAACUUCGGGAAACCGGCGCUAAUACCGGAUGAUAUUUUGAACCGCAUGGUUCAAAAGUGAAAGACGGUCUUGCUGUCACUUAUAGAUGGAUCCGCGCUGCAUUAGCUAGUUGGUAAGGUAACGGCUUACCAAGGCAACGAUGCAUAGCCGACCUGAGAGGGUGAUAGGCCACACUGGAACGGAGACACGGUCAAGACUCCUACGGGAGGCAGCAGUAGGGAAUCUUCCGCAAUGGGCGAAAGCCUGACGGAGCAACGCCGCGUGAGUGAUGAAGGUCUUCGGAUCGUAAAACUCUGUUAUUAGGGAAGAACAUAUGUGUAAGUAACUGUGCACAUCUUGACGGUACCUAAUCAGAAAGCAACGGCUAACUACGUG
rnacentral:rRNA from 1 species